GCAGUCGACGCUUUUUCUUUCACCGGAGCUUGCUCCACCGAAAGAAAAAGAGUGGCGAACGGGUGAGUAACACGUGGGUAACCUGCCCAUCAGAAGGGGAUAACACUUGGAAACAGGUGCUAAUACCGUAUAACACUAUUUUCCGCAUGGAAGAAAGUUGAAAGGCGCUUUUGCGUCACUGAUGGAUGGACCCGCGGUGCAUUAGCUAGUUGGUGAGGUAACGGCUCACCAAGGCAACGAUGCAUAGCCGACCUGAGAGGGUGAUCGGCCAC
rnacentral:rRNA from 1 species